rnacentral:rRNA from 1 species
CAGUCGCCACGGUAAUGCGUAGGGUGCGAGCGUUAAUCGGAAUUACUGGGCGUAAAGCGUGCGCAGGCGGUUGUGUAAGACAGGUGUGAAAUCCCCGGGCUUAACCUGGGAACUGCGCUUGUGACUGCACAGCUAGAGUAUGGCAGAGGGGGGUGGAAUUCCACGUGUAGCAGUGAAAUGCGUAGAGAUGUGGAGGAACACCGAUGGCGAAGGCAGCCCCCUGGGCCAAUACUGACGCUCAUGCACGAAAGCGUGGGGAGCAAACAGGAUUAGAUACCCCGGUAGUCCCUGUCUCUUAUAA